rnacentral:sRNA from 1 species
ACUUGCUGUUUCUGUAUUGGCACUGGUAUAGAUUCUCGGUCUCGAUACAGCAAACCUUGAAUAUAUUUCAGUGCCAAUACAGAAACAGCCAGU